GGGUGAUGACAGUAGUUUUGAGGGGGGCAGGGACUGAUCCAGAGGAGAUCAGUGAGAUUCUGAGUUAUCACUGGAAACUAACUUUCAACAUGCUUUCAAGAAUGAAAUUCAAAAUGGAACAAACUAAAAAGGUACUAAAUAAAAAUAAGAGGACCUUGUAUUCCAUGAGCAGGUUAGAACAUGUAACGGUAAAGUUGAACAGGAUCUCUGAGUGAACUACAGUGUUUUCUACUCAAGGGUAGUCUGGAGUCUUGACACACUUGAUUCUGCACGAUGACUUGAUGUUCCAGAUAUUGCAGGUCACUUUCUUUACCUUUACGGGCAUGCCCUACCAUUGUCCUCGGAAGACUGUCUCCAAGGGAGAAAGGGUGGAUAUGCCUAAGCACCUCUGCACAUUGCAGCAAAUGUCAACAAAUCUGUAGCAGCCUUGUAGUAUACUUCUGGUAGAUUCUGUGAGAUUUUGCGACAGACAUGAUGGGAUGAAUGGUUCUCUUCCGUGCAGAAAAUAUUUUCAAGUAUUGUACUAUUAUGGAAGAUCCAUGGUAUGAAACUGUUUUUCAAUUGUAUCCAAGACAUUUUAACACAAUGCUCCAUUGAAAUGCAAAUUGCCUGCCAUUAUGUACUCUAUGGCCUCUACUUAUCAGAGCUACUUAUCAAAACACAUUCAACUAGUCUCUCUUGGCUCAUUUACGGAGCAAUCUUUAUGCCUGACUGAAGACAUUGGAGACUAUUUCACUCCCAUCAGCAGUAGGUCGUGGUUGUGAAAUGUAGGAGUACGGUUGAGAGUCCACGAGAUAAUAAUUCAUCACCAAGAUAGGCUGCUACUCUCCAUUUUCCAUCAGGAACCGCUUCUUGAAAUCAUGAUGUCUUGUUUACAAGUCACAGAGCAAGGAUAUCAGCAGUAUCUCAUCACAGGUUCAGAGACAUCUAUCUAUACCAUGGGUUGAUUGGAAAAUGGCCAGAAUCAAAUCUGCAAGGGUCUGGUCGAAGACACCACAACUGUCCCAUUGACUCGUUUGUCUUCAGCAGAAGCAAAAUUGUCAAAUAGGAGGACACAGCAUGGAACAGGUGGAUCCAAGACAUGAAGGUGUUUAGCUCUGUAUGAGAACAGUAUAGUCGAUUUUUUCAGCAGGAACAGUCUGGAAGGAACUUGGUCUGGAGAUUGUAACGCCACAAAGAACCCGUGGCAAGUACCAUAUUAAUCACACUUUCUAUGAUUUGUACAAUGUUUUGUGGCUGUUCUUGUAUGCUAUUGAUAAGUGCCUAAUGUAUUGACCAUAUAGUAUCUGAAUUAUUAUUUGCCAAUGUACUAAUAAUGUACAAUCUGGUCUUCUGACAGGUGAAGGAGAGUCAGCAGCAAUCUGAAAAAGGCCAUGUGUCUAAAUCCCAACAAUCACCCACUCAUACUUGGAAGAAGAAAUCAACAAAGAUACCAGUGCUGUGGGAAAUGUUAAUAUUGAUGAGGAAGGAGUCGCAGUGGUGGUUGUUAAGAGGCCAGCUGGUACAGGUUGGAUGUUCAGUAUGCUGCAUGCCGUUACUGAAUUGUAUGGACCAGAUACCUCAAGUCAGCUGCUUUCAACUGAAGGCUGUUGCAGCAUAGCAAUGUUGAAUAAUGAUUUGCUCACUUGCACACAUUAGGAAGUGUGGAGGAGUCAAAACACCUAGACAUCCAUGUCAGGCUUAAUUCUAUGCCAUCAGGUAUCCCUGGACAAAUUACAAUCAGUGCUGCAACUUAGCUCUGAGUCCACAGCAACGAAAGCAACCAAUAUCCCUGGCACUGCUAUAGGUGCUUCACGGUUAAUUGCGGAUACAGUUAGUGGCUCUUCUGUAACCCUCCACUUAUGCAGUUAGCUAUUUAACAUCCACCAGUGCUACUCCUUCUACUGAGGGAGCACAAGGAGGGCUCAUCUAUAAGCAGGAUGAAGAAGGGCAUGACACGAGGAAAUGCAGCCGUAUAACAUUAAAACAUGUACAUCGCCAAUACUGCACAACUUAAUUAAAAGAAUUCAGUUUUGCUAUAA